AUUCAGAUGAGGAAAUGCUAACCGAUAGUCUAGUGCCCGUAAUGUUUCUUCCUUCAUCAAGUUCAUGCAUUACUACUGCCUUCAAAUUUUUCUCUCUUUACUGCUAUGCAUGUACGUGUCCCCGUUUACAUUUGAAUUCGCAUGUGGACCUGCGCCCGCAAAGGGGAGGGCUAUGUUAGAUAGGAAUACAUACAUUAUAAUUUAUAUGACAUGCACAUGUACUUGACUUGUUACACCAGCCUCACCUAUCCUCUUUUACAUGCACUACUAAUACUAUACUAUGCGCUGUAUUCAUGUAUUGUUCCCACACACUUUCGAGGUUGACCUUAGAUAGCACACUGGAGACCUUUUGAUGCAUUUCACUUUCAGCCGCCCUUUUAGUUAUCUACACUAACAGCUGUACAUACAUCCUAAUGCCCCUUUCAACAGUUGUCCUCCUUGUAUUGUACACCUACAUGUAUACGAUGUAUUGUACACCCUUCUAUUCAAUUCUUCCUCUAAACGUAUUCCUCUUGCACAGGUGCCAUGUCCCGACCUUUCCCAUUCUUCUGCCCACACAAUCAUGUACCUUGUAGUUUGACCUUUCUUCUUACUUCUCUCUGCUCUACGUAUCCCCUGACCAUAGGCUAGCUUACUUACUCACCCUAUAAACGCUGCUGCCUUUCUAGUUUCCUAGGGAUUAGUUUCUUGCCGAUUAAGACCAGUUCUCCGCAGAUCAGUUCCCUGUACAUGUAUAUUAGUUGCCUGCUAGAUUCUGAUUAUUACCUGAGAACUCUCUCUCUCUCUCUCU